GACGAACGCUGGCGGCGUGCUUAACACAUGCAAGUCGAACGGAAAGGCCCUGCUUUUGUGGGGUGCUCGAGUGGCGAACGGGUGAGUAACACGUGAGUAACCUGCCCUUGACUUUGGGAUAACUUCAGGAAACUGGGGCUAAUACCGGAUAGGAGCUCCUGCUGCAUGGUGGGGGUUGGAAAGUUUCGGCGGUUGGGGAUGGACUCGCGGCUUAUCAGCUUGUUGGUGGGGUAGUGGCUUACCAAGGCUUUGACGGGUAGCCGGCCUGAGAGGGUGACCGGCCACAUGGGGACUGAGAUACGGCCCAGACGGCUACGGGAGGCAGCAGUGGGGAAUAUGGCACAAUGGGCGGAAGCCUGAUGCAGCAACGCCGCGUGCGGGAUGACGGCCUUCGGGUUGUAAACCGCUUUCGCCUGUGACGAAGCGUGAGUGACGGUACUGGGUAAAGAAGCACCGGCUAACUACGUG
rnacentral:rRNA from 1 species